UACCCGCAGCACAAGUGGUGGUCAUUAUUAUUGGGCCUAAAGCGUCCGUAGCUGGCUUGUUAGAUGCCUGGGUAAAUCGAUGCGCUCAACGCAUCGAACUCCGGGUAGACCGGCAAGCUUGGGACCGGGAGAGGCGUGAGCUACUCGAGGGGUAGGGGUAAAAUCCUGUAAUCCUUCGGGGAGGACCAGUGGCGAAGGCGAGUCCCUGGACAAUACCUGACACUGAGGCACGAAAGCCAAGGGAGCAAACAGG
rnacentral:rRNA from 1 species